GGGCGUAAGCGCGCGCAGGUGGUUUCUUAAGUCUGAUGUGAAAGCCCACGGCUCAACCGUGGAGGGUCAUUGGAAACUGGGAGACUUGAGUGCAGAAGAGGAAAGUGGAAUUCCAUGUGUAGCGGUGAAAUGCGUAGAGAUAUGGAGGAACACCAGUGGCGAAGGCUACUUUCUGGUCUGUAACUGACACUGAAGCACGAAAGCGUGGGGAACAAAACAAAUUAACUUCCCUGGCAACCCCCCCCGCAA
rnacentral:rRNA from 1 species